ACGCCCCUCCAACUCCGCAUUAGCGGAGGACUGGGAGGUGCCCCGGGACCCGGUGGAGCUAGGUGGUUGAGCUAUCUUCUCCCUUCUAAGGUGCGGAGUGGUGGCUAUGUUAACAGUUUCCCCUUCACAGAUGAAAGAACUCAAGUUUCAAAAAGUUUUUACCUACUCAGAUCUGACAAAUAGUUUCUCAGAUGGUCAGGCACCAAAACAGAACAGAAGGGAACGGGAAAGUUUCCCAGGAUGGUCGGUAGCACGUAGAGGUGUUUUAGCUGUUGAUCUGAUGCUCAGCUAGGUCAUGCUGGCUUACACACUCCCUAGCCGCAGUACAUUCCCUACCAGUCCAAACUAGAUGCCAUACUUUAUAGGGUUUUAAAAAUCAUUUUUGACUAGAAGACUGGUAGAAAGAGCAGACACAGGUGGAAUAUGAAGUAUGAUGUGCUCAGUGCUGACAUCUGAGGCAGGAGCUCAUCGUGUAGAUCAGGCUGGCCUUAAACUCAGAAAUCUCUCUGACUACCUUCUCAUAUUGUGAUCAAAGUCAUGUGCCACCAUGUCUGGCAAAGUCUUCAUUUUGGUAACUGAUGAAAACCUUUUUCUUAAAUAUACCGUCAGUGCUAAGUAGUGAACGAGCACAGGGCAUGCUAUCCACCCACAAACUGUUCGAUGAAGGGAAAUGAGACAAACUGAGAUGUGGAAACAGGGAGCCUGGAUGUGGUGGUUCUAAGUAUGGUAAUGUUCAAAAACUCAAUGAAAAUCCUUUCUUGGCUUCCUCUCCUGGCUUGUUAGUGCUGCCCCUGUUUUAACGGGGCAAAGCAGAAGUGACAGCACUGACCUCAGAGGAAAGGUCAUAAAAGGCACUAGUGCAUGUUUUUGCUAGGCUUUUCAUUCACUUCAGUCAGGGGUUGUCGAUUGUUAUGCCAUAAUACCAGAGGAACUAUGGAGAGGUGCCGCUCUCUGUGGAGCUGAAACCUACAAAGCUUUGUGGUUUGUCUCGGAAACAGACCCUCUAUGCCUGGUCCAGCCCUGAGCUGACUGCAGACUUUAUGAGACUUUCAGCUAGGAAUACCCAGCUUAGCCACUUCACUGGGGUGGGGUAGUUGUCUCUUUAGGAGUGCUCCUCCUGUAAGCACAGGGCUGGGGACUCUAUCCCCAACAAUCAUGGAAGUGAAUGCCUGGAUCCUGGCACGAAGGAGAGUCAGAAAUUCAAGGAUAAAUCUGGGACCAGCCUGGGUGGGCUAUGAGACCUGUCUUAAAAAUGGGCGGGGGUAGACUUGUUACAUGGCAUAAGUAACUAUUAGACAAGGUAAAGGAGAAAGUAUGGGGCACACAUGAAUGUGAGAGUCACUGUAGCUUUUGUGUAAACUUCAAAAUAAAACGUUAAAAAUAAACCUGGUUGGAUGUCCUGUUCCUUCUACUUCCAUGCCGACAAGGAAUGGAAAAUAAACCAAGUUUCAUGGAUGGGAAAAGAAAAGCAUCUUGGGUGGUAAGAUUUUUCAUCAUACUUACUUUAAAAAUAAAAUCCUCAUAUAGAAACUAUCUUGACGUCCAACCUGAAGCUGCUGAGAGUGGGAGAGACUUUGUAUCUAAUCCUGAGAGCUUAUUUUGGACGCAUCUGUGAUGUAGAAAGAGACGGACCAGGAUUCAAGGACAGCCUCUACAGGAAGUACAAGGGAAAUACUCAUCUAUUUAUUCCCUGUUGGAGUCUUCACACCAGUUAUACCAACUUAAAACAAAGUGUUGCGUGGUGGCACACGCCUCAAUUCCAGCAGCCAUUAGGCAGAGUCCAGCAUCCCUGUGACUUUGAGGCCAGCAAGAGCUAUGUGGAGAGAGAUCCUCUCUAAAGCAAACAAACGGUUUUAGCCCUCUCCUAAAGAACAGCUUUCCUGUAACUAGGUAAAAAUAUAUAUGAGUUCCCUAUGUACACCACACCUCUACUUUAAAUGCUCUCUGACUUCCCCUUUGUGUCUUUUCCUCCUUUUAUCAAAAUGAAAACACCCUUCCUACUUUAAAAGCACCACUAUCCUUUACACUUCUCUACUUUCCAGGUCCUCAGCCAUAUGACUUCAAAUAACUCUAGCAAAGUAUGCUUUAAGGAAAAUGAUUUCUUUAUUUUUAUAUUUUUCAGAAUAUCAAGAUGUAUUUUUGGAGAUAAAUUAGUCAUCUCUUGAACAAUUCACAAAAGCCACAUUCACACUGAAGAAAUUUGACAGAAACACUCUCGUAGAUUUUUUUAAGUACAAUACUUGAUAACCGAAACUCGAGGUUAAGAAGUGGUCAAAGCCAUCAUCGGGUUCUGUAUUUACUGCUUGAGUCUCACUGAUAGAACUGGCUCAGUGAACGUCACUGCUGAAUCCCACGUGCCAACACAGCCUCCAGACCUGGCGCACCGGUGGCCUAUAGACACCUACAGGGGCCACAUCCUAUGGCACACAAGAUGAAUGCAGUCAAAGAGGGUAUGUGUGAUGGUUUUAAAUAAAGCUAUAGCUAGGAAGACUGUGAGGACCAUGCAAAGUUCAUUUGUACAAGCUCAACCAUUGAAUGCGCCUCAUUUAGUAUGAAGCUAACCAUGGCAUGUGACUUUUAAAAAAUGCCCAAAGGCAUACAUUUUAAAAUUUAACUUAAAAAUUAAAAUGUGGCAAUUACUAAAAUACAUAUUUAGUACAUGUUGGAGCUAAAAAGUCCUCCAAACCACCAAAUGUUCAAGAAUUAUUCUCUGUCUUUUUACCACGAUGAGGAUGGGCUUGGUGGGAAGCCAUAGGUCACUUGCAAGCCUAUGAUCAGGACUGUGCAUCCCUAGCCUCUUCUUCUCCACUUCUAUUUAUUGUGCUACCAUAAAUAAAUAGCUUCCUCUGUCUUGCAUGUUCUGAUGUUAUGUCCUGCCCUGACACAGGCCCAAAAUCAAUGGAACAUCAGCUCGAAGCCCCAAAAUUUUAAGAGGAGGCAAACAUUAUCUCUGUAAGCUGAUCUAUCUUGUGUUUGUCACAGUGACAGAAGGCUGUCUAGCAGUAUACAAGAAUACAUAUGAGUUACAUCAGUAUAUAUAGAUAGAUCUUUCACAUUCCCAUAGUGGCCGGAUAUUCCACUGACUAGUAGUAUUAGAUAUCUUUUAUACCGACACUAACAUACUACAGGCCUCUUGGGCUGACUCUUAUUUUUGAUGAGGAAACUUCUCCCCAAGUCCAUGCGAUGAAAUGGACUCAGUAGUUGAAUCCAGGCAAUUUGGCCCUGGGUCCUCUUUUACUUUACAUUUUCUCUCUGUCUUCUAAAAUACAAUCUUAGUUAUACUUAAUCAAAAUAGUAAUUCAUUCAGACAGUAAUAUUUUCAUUUUGUUUUGUUUUCUUGUUUUUUUAAACAGUUGUAACCGAUGCUAACAUUUUCUUCUCCUCUAAGCUAUUUGCCACCAGUUAGGAAGGAGUAGGGUAAAAAGACAAAACAUUACCCUGAAAUAAAACAGCAUGUCACGACUGUAAAAGAGAUGAAAAUUGCUUCCUUUCCAACUUCUUACAUUGUAGGAGUAAAAUAUGUAAAUUAGUUGUAGCAUCUUCACACAUGCUAAGACUCCAUAAUUGAGGGCAGGGGCAGGCUACACUCUCCGAUCAUCAACCUAUUUUUCUAUAUCAUGAGCUAAGGCAUUCAUUUCAAAUCCAGUUUUCUAAGGGCAAGAUCAUUACCAGUUCUUUGUGUCAACAUCGCAUUUGCACUCAAGGCCUAUAUACUUAAGACUUAGGGAGAUCUACAAAUAUAAGAACAUAAUACUUGUCUGGUUCUUUUUAAGAUUUGGUCUCCCUGUGUAGCCUGGUUGGUUUCCUGCCUCAGCCUUAUGAGUGCUAGGAUCAGAGAUGUGCACCACCAUACAUGAGUGGUACAGUUAUUUAGAGAUAUAUAUUAGAAAGCUUCUAAA
rnacentral:sRNA from 1 species